AUUGAACGCUGGCGGCAGGCCUAACACAUGCAAGUCGAACGAGUGGCGGACGGGUGAGUAAUGUCUGGGAACCUGCCUGAUGGAGGGGGAUAACUCCUGGAAACGGUAGCUAAUACCGCAUACCCUCAGGUGUGCCCCGAUGGGCUUAGCUAGUUGGUGGGGUAACGGCUCACCACGGCGACGAUCCCUAGCUGGUCUGAGAGGCUGACCGGCCAACCUGGAACAGAGACACGGUCCUGACUCCUACGGGAGGAAGCGGGGGGGAAUAUUGCAAAAGGGGCGCAAGCCUGAUGCAGCCAUGCCGCGUGGAUGAGGAAGGCCUGCGGGUUGUAAAGUACUUUCAGCGGGGCGGCGUUACCCGCAGAAGAAGCACCGGCUAACUCCGUGCCAGCAGCCGCGGUAAUUC
rnacentral:rRNA from 1 species